UGGUUCUUUUGUCGUGCCCAGCUCUUAAUAAUCACAGUAACAUUCCAUUAAAUGGACUGGAGAAGUCUUGAUUACAAUAAUCAUAUUGCUUUUUACUUUUCAACACUAUUGGAUCUUGUGUCAUACCAUCUUUAGAUGGUGGAUGGAGUAUAUGGAGGUGUUCCUGCUACCUCUCUAUAUGUAGACAACGUCACUGUUGUUGUGAGGUUCUUAUUUCUAAGCCUUAAUGUAUGUCCGUUACAGCGCCCUUAGGGAGCAAAACGUGGCAGAUAUUACUACACCCUCAAAUUUAAAUGGACUGUAGAAGUCAAGAUUACAAUAAUGAUACUUUCAGCACCAUUGCACGGUUUGGUUGUCUUGCCCAGCUCUUAAUGGUCCAAAAUGCUGUACAAUGGGUUAUGUUUUAAAAAUUGAAGAUAAAAGAUCAAGUUUUGAAUAUCUUCUUUUUUUCUCUGAAGAUGGCAAAUCAAAUUAUUAAUUCACGAGCUCUUAAGAUAAUAAAAAUAUCAGGUGUUAAAGUUUGGAGGUAUAAACAAGUCAUUCUCAAUCAAAAUAUUGCAAAAUUGUAAUGUUAGUGGAUUUUCUCAUUGUUGAAGCCCAUACAGUAACCUAUUUUACAUUAACAUCAUUUGGUCUCUGUAGGAUAGUUGUCUCACAUCUCUUGAUAUCACAACAAAACAAUUUGUAGGUUCUCAAAGGUGGGCCAAUGAUGAAGGUAGGGGAAAUUUUGACUGCCAGCCGAGAGGAGGAUAAUGUUGGACAGAAAGUUAGCCUUGCAACAAGCCACAUCCUACUGACACCUCAAAAGAUUUGUGGCAAGGGUUCUUUAACAUGCAGAGUUGCACUGUCCCUACAGAAAGGACCUAUACUUUUUAAACUGCCAUUCCAAUUUUUGUUUUGUUUUAAAUAUGAUAACUUUAGAAGACUUAAAGGCGGGGGUCAUAAAAAUAUCAAAAUAAUCCCACCCUCAAUGUUUAUUAUCUAGAACUCUGUUUUCUAUUUUGCUUUCAUAUUAUUUUUUGGUAUUUUCUUUUUUAUAUAUUUUUUUCUUUUUUUUUUUACAGAGCUCUAGAUAAUAAAAAUAUCAGAUGUUAAAGUUUGGAGGUAUAAACAAGUCAUUCUAAAUCAGAAUAUUGCACAAUUUUAAUGUUAGUGGAUUUUCUCAUUGUUGGAGCCCAUACAGUAACCUAUUUUACAUUAACAUCAAUUGGUCUCUGUAGUAUAGUUGUCUCACAUCUCUUGAUAUCACAACAAAUCAAUUUGUAGGUUCUAUAAAGUGGUCCAAUCCUAUGGUGAAGGGAGGGGAAAUUUUGACUGCCAACCGAGGAGGAUAUUUUUGGACAGAAAUUUAGCCUAAUGCAACAAGCCACAUCCUACUGACACCUCAAAAGAGUUGUGACAAGGGUUCUUUAACGUGCAGAGUGGCACUGUCUGUCCCUACAAAUAGGACCUAUACUUUCCCGCUACCUCUAUGUGUAGACAACAUCACUGUUGUUGUGACAUUCUUAUUUCUAAGCCUUAAUUUAUGUCCGUUACAACGCCCUUAGGGAGGAAAUAGUAGCAGAUAGUACUACACCCUCAAAUGGAUUGUAGAAGUCCAGUUUACAAUAAUGGUACUUUCAGCACCAUAACCCGCUUUGGUUGUCUUGUCCAGCUCUUAAUGGUCCAAAAUGCUGUACAAUGGAUUAUGAUUUAAAAAUUGAAGAUAAAAGAUUAAGUUUUGAAUAUAUCUACUUUUUUUCUUUGAAGAUGGCAAAUCAAAUUAUUAAUUCAUUAAAAAUUCAGAAUAACUCAAAUCUUUACACCACACAAACGCGCCAACAAAGAAUGUGCAAUGAAAAGAAUUGAGUUAUUGUUUGAAACAUCAAAAAUGUUAAAGUUUCACGCAUUGUUUUUUAUUUGAACAGCAAUUUUCAGAUCUCAGGACAAGUUUUCUUUGGAACACACUCAGGACAAGUUAUCUUUGGAAGACAUUAUAAAUUUCUGUUUUGCAAAAGAUUAAAAGUUUUGGAUACUUUCUUUUUUUCUUUGAAGAUAACAAAUCUAAUUAUUAAUUCAUUAAAAAUUCAGACUAACCCAAUUGUUUACACCACACAAACUUUCCGGAGGUAACAUAUUUAUUUUUUGUCCAUUCUUUUUUCUUUCUUUUUUUCUUUUUUUUAAAAUAUACUGCAGUGCCAACAAAGAAUGUGCAAUGACAAGAAAUGAGUUAUUGUUUGAAAAUCAAAAAUGUUAAAUGUUCACAUUGUUUUUAUUUGAACAGCAAUUUUCAGAUCUCAGGACAAGUUUUCUUUGGAACACAUUAUAAAUUUUUGUUUUUCAAAUGAUUUCAACUGACAUAAACAAGACUGGAAAGGUCGAAAUUACCAAAAUGCUAAUUUCACUAUUAUUGGUUCUUUUGUCGUGCCCAGCUCUUAAUGAUGGAAAACCCUGUAUCACAGUAACAUUCCUUUAAAUGAACUGGAGAAGUCUUGAUUACAAUAAUCAUAUUGCUUUUUACUUUUCAACACUAUUGGAUCUUGUGUCAUACCAGCUUUAGAUGGUGGAUGGAGUAUAUGGAGGUGUUAAGAAUUGCACAAGAGGUGUUCCUGCUACCUCUCUAUAUGUAGACAAUGUCACUGUUGUUGUGACGUUCUCAUUUCUAAGCCUUAAUUUAUGUCCGUUACAACGCCCUUAGGGAGAAAAACUACACCCUCAAAUGGACUGUAGAAGUCCAGAUUACAAUAAUGGUACUUUCAGCACCAUUGCACGGUUUGGUUGUCUUGCCCAGCUCUUAAUGGUCCAAAAUGCUGUACAAUGGAUUAUGUUUUAAAAAUUGAAGAUAAAAGAUUAAGUUUUGAAUAUCUUCUUUUUUUCUCUGAAGAUGGCAAAUCAAAUUAUUAAUUCACGAGCUCUAGAUAAUAAAAAUAUCAGGUGUUAAAGUUUGGAGGUAUAAACAAGUCAUUCUCAAUCAAAAUAUUGCAAAAUUGUAAUGUUAGUGGAUUUUCUCAUUGUUGAAGCCCAUACAGUAACCUAUUUUACAUUAACAUCAUUUGGUCUCUGUAGGAUAGUUGUCUCACAUCUCUUGAUAUCACAACAAAACAAUUUGUAGGUUCUCAAAGGUGGGCCAAUGAUGAAGGUAGGGGAAAUUUUGACUGCCAACCGAGAGGAGGAUAAUGUUGGACAGAAAGUUAGCCUUUGCAACAAGCCACAUCCUACUGACACCUCAAAAGAUUUGUGGCAAGGGUUCUUUAACAUGCAGAGUUGCACUGUCCCUACAGAAAGGACCUAUACUUUUUAAACUGCCAUUCCAAUUUUUUUUGUUUUAAAUAUGAGAACUUUAGAAGACUUAAAGGUGGGGGUCAUAAAAAUAUCAAAAUUAUCCCACCCUCAAUGUUUAUUAUCUAGAACUAUGUUUUCUAUUUUGCUUUCAUAUUAUUUUUUGGUAUUUUCUUUUUUAUAUUUUUUUUUCUUUUUUUUUUUACAAAGCUCUAGAUAAUAAAAAUAUCAGAUGUUAAAGUUUGGAGGUAUAAACAAGUCAUUCUAAAUCAGAAUAUUGCAAAAUUUUAAUGUUAGUGGAUUUUCUCAUUGUUGAAGCCCAUACAGUAACCUAUUUUACAUUAACAUCAUUUGGUCUCUGUAGGAUAGUUGUCUCACAUCUCUUGAUAUCACAACAAAUCAAUUUGUAGGUUCUAUAAAGUGGUCCAAUCCUAUGGUGAAGGGAGGGGGAAUUUUGACUGCCAACCGAGGAGGAUAUUUUUGGACAGAAAUUUAGCCUAUUAAUGCAACAAGCCACAUCCUACUGACACCUCAAAAGAGUUGUGACAAGGGUUCUUUAACGUGCAGAGUGGCACUGUCUGUCCCUACAAAUAGGACCUAUACUUUCCCGCUACCUCUAUGUGUAGACAACAUCACUGUUGUUGUGACAUUCUUAUUUCUAAGCCUUUAUUUAUGCCUGUUACAAGGCCCUUAGGGAGGAAAUAGUGGCAAAUAUUACUACACCCUCAAAUGGACUGUAGAAGUCCAGAUUACAAUAAUGGUACUUUCAGCACCAUUGCGCGGUUCGGUUGUCUUGCCAGCUCUUAAUUGUCCAAAAUGCUGUACAAUGGAUUAUGUUUUAAAAAUUGAAGAUAAAAGAUAAGUUUUGGAUAUCUACUUUUUCUUUCUUUGAAGAUGGCAAAUCAAAUUAUUAAUUCAUUAAAAAUUCAGAAUAACUCAAUUCUUUACACCACACAAACGCGCCAACAAAGAAUGUGCAAUGAAAGGAAUCGAGUUAUUGUUUGAAACAUCAAAAAUAUUAAAGUUUCACACAUUGCUUUUUAUCUGAACAGCAAUUUUCAGAUCUCAGGACAAGUUUUCUUUGGAACACACUAAGGACAAGUUCUUUGGAAGACAUUAAUAACUUCUGUGUUGCAAAUGAUUAAAGAUUAAAAGUUUUG
rnacentral:lncRNA from 1 species